rnacentral:rRNA from 1 species
CAAACGGGGAUUCCCCCUUAGUACGGCGAGUGAAGCGGGAAGAGCUCAACAUUGUAAUCUGGCUGCUUCGCAGUCCGAGUUGUAGUCUAUAGAAGCAUGAUCCGCGCCGGCCCUUGGGCAUGUCUGUUGGAACGCAGUGUCAAAGAGGGUGAAAAUCCCGUACAUACCAAGGACGACCGUGUGCAUUGUGGUCUGCUCUCUAAGAGUCGAGUUGUUUGGGAAUGCAGCUCUAAUUGGGUGGUAAAUUCCAUCUAAAGCUAAAUAUCGACGAGAGACCGAUAGCGAACAAGUACAGUAAUGGAAAGAUGAAAAGUAGCCUGCAGAGGCAAUGAAACAAUACGUGAAACCGUUUGUAGGGAAGCGAUGGAACCUUUUCACGCUGCGAGGGUUCAGCUUGGCUUCGGCUUAGUGUAUUCCCUCGUUUUGCGGACCAGCAUCAGUUUGCUUCGCAGUAUAAGGGUGAUUGGAACGUGGCUUCUCCGGAAGUGUUAUAGCCUUUCACUGGAUGCUGUGUCGCAGACUGAGGACUGCAGUGCGCCGUAAGGCAUGGUCUUCGGGCCACGAGCACUUAGGAUGCUGGGCGAAUGGGUUUCAACGACCCGUCUUGAAACACGGAC